UGGAAGGACUCUGAUUCCUGUGAAUCCACAGUUACUAAUGUAUCAAAAUCACUGUUUUUCUGGUAACAGAAUUGGCAAGGGAAGGGAUCCUGUGGGAACCUAUAAUUUUAAAAAGCAAUCUUCCUAUCUCUACAAUAAUCCUACUAACCAGAUGCUUUAUAGCAGAAAUCUCCCUAUUACAGGUAAUUUUCCAUUUCUAUCGAUUUUAUAUCACAUAUUAUCAAGAGUCCCAUCUCAGCCGAUCACGGUCUCCCUCGAAGCUCAUCCUGUGAGUGGCCACAUUCCUCACAGUUGCCCCACCUCUGAAUAAGGGAGUAUCACCCUCAGGAAACGGGGGUCUGUGGAGGGCAGCGUUCACUGCUUGGGCCCUGCCUACCUCCAAGAGGUACCCGGGUGCCAAGUGGUGUGCCUAGUCUGGGCCUUCCAGCUGUCACCUUGGACCAGCCACGUGUGGUGGGAUGUCACGCAUGCUGCCUCACUCUGGCUGCUGAGGACCUCGCACUGCCCCCACUGCGCGGGGACCCAGCCUUUGAGCCCCCACACCUUCAGCAGAUACUUUCUGUGCCAGGAGCUGGGACCACAGCAGCACACAGGAUAGAACUGGCCCUACUCUGUUCACCCCAAAAGCCUGCCCGGAGCCCAGGUGUUCACUAGCCCAGCCCAGGUCUGGGUGCUGCCAAGGAGCUGAGCUGGUUUCAGGCCCACACAGCCUGGCCCGGCCCUGUGUUAAUGCUGCACACCCCCACCCACCAGCACACCCUCUGCAAGCCUCCAGGCCAGGCCCAGUUCUGUGGACAGCAGACGUCAUCACUGUCAACAAAUGUGAGUGGCUCCCGAAUGGGUAGAUUUGGGAAUUGAGUGUCCAUAUUUCUCACCCAGAAAUAGGUUUUAGAGGUUCUGUCAUUCCUAUGAUUUGUGGUGUCCUCUGCUGAAACGGGGAAGUGUGGAGCAGUUGGCAGCAGCCAGCCUCCCCCACAUCCCAGCCCUCCAUCAUGCCGGUUGCUCCAAUAGAGGCUUUGACGGGCGUAGUUGCUGUACCCAAAUUUCCCAUUGCCUAGGAGAAAGAAACAGGCUCAGUCCUCAGCUCUGCUACCAGCUUGCUCCAGUGGCCCAUCGCCCAGUGAGGCACUGACAUCCCAGGACUCCUGUCCCUGUGGUGAGGGAGAAGGGUCCUAGCUUUGGGGCAGACACAUGUCACCCCCUGUGUGAUCUAACUGCACUCAGCGCUGGGAUCUUGAGUUGUCAAACUCGGAAAAGGUGAUGAGUGGCAAAAUGCUUCCAAAUGAUGCUGCUGGGCUGUGUGUGCCACCAGGUCAGUGCCAUAGAGUGGGAUGAGCUUGCAAGAGAAUCUGGCCCCUGAAGAUGAGGCUUCGAGCCAGAUAGAAGCAUGCAUGCGGUCGGGGGCUUCCAAGGGACUGCCACCGAGCCUGGUGGUAAGACUCGGUUGAAUAGGACAAACAGCCUGUCCUUGAGAUGCACAAUGUCCCCCCCGUUUUGUAAAACAAGGAAACAAAACAUACACACACAGCUUGUACAAAGCACAGAUGGGCACAAGAAGUGACAUGUUACACAGCAAACAUCUGGGAACGGUUACUUCCUAAUGACAGGGUUACUGUAUUUGGGUGUUUUCCACAUUUUCUUUGAUGUGUGGGGUAACCUGGACUAUUUGGUGGGGUAUUCUGUCCCUGGAGAACAUGUGGCUUGAGUCUGACCCAGGUGGUGAAGGCUGCCUCCAGGCGGAACAUUCUGGAUCUUUCUGUAGCCUCUCCUGGAACAGACAGGACUGAUGUCCAAUCAGAGCCAUGGCCUUGCAGGGCAGUUCCACCCACCCUAAGGAGGGAGCUGCUACAAUUUUUAGCCAGGGAGUUCUCAUAGUAACCCAUGUACCUUAUUUUUUGCAAUCAUGAAAUUGUAUGUUUCUAAUAAAGGUGUAGAUAAGUCAACUUGAAAGCUGAAAUGAAGGGCAUGUUUUGCUCUCUUCACCCUUUUCCCCUGAAAAAGAGGGAGGCCAGUGAGUGUCCCAGACUUUGGGCCAAUCAAGGGGAAUUGGAUCAAGUGUCUCCGGGAACAAAGGUUUCUGAGAGCUGGAAGCAGAAGCCUCCAUCUGGCCUUCUGUUUGUAUGGAUCACAGUAACAUCAUUACAAGUAAAGCCUUGCUUGUCACGGAGUCUGGGCCAGUGUCAGUGCUUCCAGCGGGGUUCCCAGCUAGAGGAACCGGCUCCCAGGACGCCCAGGCCCCUCAGGACCAACACUAGUCAGCAGCAUCAUGAUGCCAGGAGCAGUGCCCAGCAGUCUGCCCAAGCCGUUACCCCCUCCACCUGCCUUCCGACGGCAGCUUUGCCCAACCCCACUACCCAUCCUAGGCCCCUCCUGUCCCCGUCCCGCCCCACCAAGCUCAGCUCCCUGAGCACCACAGCCUACAGCUUCCUCUUGGCUGCUGCUUCCAGCACCAUCCGGCAGCUCUGCAGGAAAGGCUUACGUGGAUUUGCUGAGCGGAUGAAUAAAUGAACUGCAAUGGUAAAAGGCCAGCGCAGGUGUCCCCAGGGGUCCAGAGUCUUCUGCAGGCAAGAAAUCAUGCCAUUGGGAUGUUUCAUAUUCCCAGGGUGCUUUGCUUUUCUGGGCUUGGGACUGAUCAGGCUCUGAGAUUCCUGCUGGGGCUGGAUGCAGGCAGGCCAUCACCCACUGAUGCCCAGUGCCCCAGCCAGCACUCCCUGUGAUGACCAAGACCCAGAAUCUGCCCUUCACACCACCUAGUCCAAGCAGGUCCAGCCAGGGACCUGGGGAGCUGCCCUCCUCCCAGGCAGGGUGGAUGCCACUUGCCCAUACUCAGGAGCACACACUCCUUUGCUCUGGAUCCAUCCACCCACUCACCCAUCUCUUCAUCUACCAACGCAUGCAUUCAUUCAGUCGAUUCUUAGCAAAGGGCUCAGCCUGGGACUGCCCACUUCACCUCCCUCUAGCUGGGCGACCCCCCAGUGAAGCCCCACCUCCCCAACCGCCAUUGCUCACCUGAUAGGACCCUCCCUCUCCCGGGGCUGCUGAGAUGAGGCGUGGUUAGUGGCUGUACAUUGUAAAGGCCACUAAAUGUCAUUAUCUUAAUU